CCAGGGCUCCCCAGCAACACAGAGCUGUCUGACCCUCUGUCGUGGACAGCCUGGUGGCAUUGUUGAAUAUCCAAAAGGUACAAGAUGCUGAAAGCUUUGAUAUUUGAAACCUGAUUGAAGGAUCCCCAUCCAUCUCCAGGACACCUCAUGUGGAAAUCCUGGAGAAGAGGUUUCUUGCUUUGAACCAGGAGUCUGUGAAUCUGGCUACUUACAAAUGGUGCAUUUCGAGUUUCUAUUGAUUUGGGUAGCUUGGGAUGGGUGUUGAUGAGAGCCACUUUCAAUUGGGCAUCAUCUGAGUCAGACAAACUACAUUAUGAAUCAGUGUUGCACUUGUUCCAAAGUAGCUGAUAAGCACAUUAAGUGUGGUAGGAAAGAAAGGAGUGUGGAGAGAGCUGAGGUUUGGGUACAUGGUGAUGUUGUGAGUCAACAUGGGCUUUUCUUGGUGUUGCCACAAACACAGGAGCUAGAGGCGGGCAUGAUGGGGCAAGCCUAAACCAGGGGAUAACUGGUUUAUGAAAAAACUUGUGUUGAAAAACACCAAUAAAGUGACCAAACAAAGAUGCUUCAAAAUUACCUUGAGGGGAACACAAAUUCAGUCAGAACCAGGAGAUCCCCCUGGCUGCUGUUGCACAGGUCUGGGAAGGUCAUGGGGAGUGUCACCACGUGUGACUCAGCUGAAAGCACAGGACAAAGCCAUUCCUCAGCAUGCAGGAGCAUAAAAACCCCUUAAAACCAAAUGUGGUCUCUUUAGUAAGAACAUUGCUUAGUUUUUAAAGUAGAGCAGCCUGCAGGAACUGGAAAGCCCAGAGAGCUGUGUCCUGGGAUCUUUGCAGCAAGGGAAUAAAGGGAAGGGCCGUUUCUGGUGAAAGGGAGACAGGGGUCUUUGGGAUUACAAUUCUGGAGCCACUGGAUCGCACCAUUCCUGCUCAGUGAUCUCAUUGCUAUGCUGCUUGUGAGUGUAAACAGGCUGCUACAAUGGGUGCUGAUGCAAAAGCCCACAAUGGCACCUGGGUGCAGAUGCUGGGCUCCUUGGCGUGAGGCUCAGUGUGCCCUGAGCACCUCAGCAACGAAAGGUACACAAGGAAUUCAGAUAGGUGGCCAUGCUGUGGGAUUUGCCUGCACCAGCCCAGCCUUACCCUGCUGCAGGUUUGCUUUCAGCUCUCCUGGUCCCUCUGCCCUGAGUGGUGAGCUCUGUGUUUCAGGUAACUGACCUUGCUGAGCCUGGAGCAGAGCUCCCAGCUGGCCAUGCGUGUGAUCUGAAGAUGUCCUGGCUGCCCACCAGAGGAGCUGCCACCUAUUCCUUGUGGUUUCCCACUGGAGACAACUGGGAUGCAGCUUUGAGAAGCCGGAGGCACACCCUGCUUUGCUCAGUGAAAAGCAGCCCUCUGUCAUCACAGCCCUGCACACUGAGUAUCUCUUGAGUAGCGGCUUGAAGGUGAUUCCUUGCAUCUGGGGGAGCUCUGAAGACCGCUGCAGAAAUGCUGCCUUCACUCCCAGGGCUGGGAGUUCUCCUUUUGCUUGGUGAGUAUUACAGCGACGGGUGUUCCAGGAGGAUUUUCCAUACGAGCAGCUGUAGUUGAGAGGAUAUUUGAAA